CCGGCAUUUUCAUAGCACUCGGAAUACAGCGAUCCCGGCAUUUCGCCGGAGCUCGCUAGUCACCAACCAUGACGAUCGAACUCAAGCUCUCACGAUCAAACCGUGUCUAUUGCCUUGGUGAAACAGUCGAAGGGAAGAUUAAAACAAUCUUUGCUUCCCCAGUUUCUUAUCAGAAAAUUAUUAUCUCCUUAACCGGAACCGUCAAUUUACAGGUUAAAGGAGGAGUGACUGGAGUGAUCGAGUCCUUGUACGGCGUGGUGAAGCCUAUAUGCAUCAUUAAGAAGAGUAUGGAGCUUGCAACAUCAGCUGGAAAAUUAGGUCCUGGCAGGACAGAGAUAAAUUUUUCGUUUUCUUUGAGCUCAGAGAAGAAAAGUGGUUAUGACAUGUUUUAUGAGACAUUCCAUGGCGGAAAUAUCAGCAUCCAGUAUCUGAUCAGUGCAGAUGUGACUAGAGGCUAUCUACAUAAGGCCCUCUCCGCUACCUUGGAGCUAAUUGUUGAACAUGACAAAGCCAGUCUCAUCCAAGCUCCUAUUUCACCUGAGCUCACCAGCUUUUUCAUCACUCAAGACACUCAGAAACAUCAAUUACUUCCUGAAUUGUCAUCAGGUCGAUUUCAGGUUACAGGAAACAUAUCUACCCACUGUUCUUUGUCAGAACCUCUAAGCGGAGAGCUAAUUGUUGAAGCAUCUGCUGUUCCCAUACGCUCCAUUGACAUACUACUUCUUCGUGUUGAGUCAAUUCUUACUGGGGAGAGAAUCAUAUCUGAUACUUCGGUUGUUCAGAUCACACAGGUAGCUGAUGGAGAUGUUUGCCGAUCGAUGACUUUACCCAUCUAUGUGAUGCUUCCUCGAUUAUUGGUGUGUCCCACUGUGCUGAAUGGUGAUGUGAAGCUUGGAAAGAAGAUAAAGAGAGGGAGCUUAUUUAGGGCUAUCUUAAAUGUUAAGGCCGUUCUCCAUUGAAUUUCAGGUGUCUAUUGUAAUUAGUUUUAAGUCCGAGCUAUCCAAGUUGUACCCAAAAUUUGAUCUCCAAACUCCAAGGCCAUGGUUGGCUUCGCUGACGUUGCCACUAAGAGUUUUCAGAACGACAUAAGCUAGUUACAGCGCUCGCACACUAUCAACUGAAAGCUUGGUGCACGAAGUUAUCACUGAUUUCUUUCAUGCUUCAACAUCAUUUUAUGAAAAGCUAUAGAAUAAAGUUCUAUAAUCAAUUUAUGCUGGAUUUUCUUGUUAGUUUUAUCCACGCAUCUGUAUGCGAUUCAAAUACUAUGCGUUAAAGAAAAAAAAUUUCCAAAUUUUCGUAAAAGAUAUUAUUCUUUGUUCUAGAAGCUUGAGUUUUGUGGCAUGUGGUUUUGUUUAGGGAAAGUGGUGUGAUAACCUGUACUAAACAAUAUCCAGAUUCUUGAAAGCAAGAAGAACGAGCAGAAAAGCAAAAAUGAAAGAGAGGAAAUAGUGAAGUUUGCAUAUUUUUUUC